UGUUGUUGGCCUGGCUACCCUGUCCUUGGGCGCGUGCAUAUAAUAUAGAGGGAAAGUGACCUCAAUGCCAUGUCCUCAGUGGCAGCGCCUGACACCUGCUGCUUCUAUCCUCAUUCACUGAGAUACUA
rnacentral:snoRNA from 1 species